CAGGUGCAGAUAUGCUAUUUAUUAUUUCCACCAUUACUGUAAGAGUCAAGUGUGUGAUUGUUAUUCACGAGGGCAGCACCACUCUCUUAUUUGCGCUGAAAAAUGCAAGCGUUGCCACUCAAAUAUAUUACUGCCCCUAACACACCUCCCUAACUAAACACGUUCAUCCCAUUCCAACAUGGUAGAUUUUUAUUUCAGAUAGGAGAUGUUCGCAUUCUUUCCUUGAAGUUCGUCUCCUCCACAUAUCAAAAAAAGUUAACAAAUAGGCAUAAUAUAUGCCCGGGGGAGCAGGGAAAACUGCUUUUCUUUUUCUUGGCUGGCUUAAUUCAUUCUGGAAUGGUGUGACUUUUCAUGACUGCGUUUGAAGGAAAAGGCUAACUUGCAGUGUAGAAGUAGCAUGAUAUAUUGUGGAAAAAUAACUUGCUGGCUUUCCUAAGAAACUCUCUUCUCCAGCUCCUCCUCUCGCUGUACUCCUUCCAGCACCCCAGAAUUCAUUGCAUCAGUGCAUGUUAUGGCACCUUGGGGAUGCGUUAGUCAUAAGAAUGGAGCUACUGGUGCUUUGCAGGCAUAUUUUAACUUUGGCUCUCACAUGAAUGCUCUAACACAUCCGUGCUGUCUGCACGUCUGGGUAGCAUUUGCUUGCGGGUGCCUCCUGAGAUUCCAGUCAGCUCAAAAAAGGAAACAUCUAAUUUAUAUUUGCUAAGGGAACAAUAAGAAAACUUCUCUUUGUACAUAUCUCUUUCUGAGACAAGCUCCGUGACUGGUCGCAACCUGUAAUAAAAAUGCCAUAUCCAAGAGAAUAUAUUUAAUAUUGGGACGGCAAAAUAGAACGAUAUGAUCUGUUUGGGGUUUCAAGUAGGCAGCAGGAACCUGAGUUACAGAGCAGAACUUCACGUGAUGGUGUCCAUGUGCAGACAGAAGAGAGUCCUGCUCCUCACCCUUCCACACUUCGUUCACCAUUUGCUCUACAGCAGCAGCGUUUGCGCCAGAAUAACUGAAAAGGGAAACUCUGCUGGUUUUUGUAGAUUUGGUUUCGGGGCAGCUUAAGCAAGCGCCUGUGCCCCGCGCUGCCUGGUGGUGCGUGUUGCCGAGGCCUUUUGCAAAGUCUGAACAA
rnacentral:lncRNA from 1 species